AGAGCGAACGCUGGCGGCAUGCUUAACACAUGCAAGUCGCACGGUCAGCAAUGGCAGUGGCGGACGGGUGAGUAACGCGUAGGAAUCUAUCCAGAGGUGGGGGACAACCGUGGGAAACUACGGCUAAUACCGCAUGUUACCUGAGGGUUAAAGGCGCAAGUCGCCUUUGGAGGAGCCUGCGUCUGAUUAGCUUGUUGGUGGGGUAAAGGCUUACCAAGGCGACGAUCAGUAGCUGGUCUGAGAGGAUGAUCAGCCACAUUGGGACUGAGACACGGCCCAAACUCCUACGGGAGGCAGCAGUGGGGAAUAUUGGACAAUGGGCGCAAGCCUGAUCCAGCAAUGCCGCGUGGGUGAAGAAGGUCUUCGGAUUGUAAAGCCCUUUUGGCGGGGACGAUAAUGACGGUACCCGCAGAAUAAGCCCGGCUAACUUCGCGCCAGCAGCCGC
rnacentral:rRNA from 1 species